rnacentral:miRNA from 1 species
GAAAACCACCGCGUUGGGUACGU